UUAGAAGGGUUGAAAGUGUGAGUGUGGAGUGGAAGAUUCCUUUGCAGGUUACAAGAGGCCGAAGGGGGAGGAAGGGAGAAAGGAAUGGGUUAACUCGAUGAUCCAGCUAGGCCUGAAGAUAAGGAAUGAAACUGCAGCCCAAGGCCAGCGCACACAAAUAAGCUCUCUGCUGCCAAACAGCCAGAAGCCUGUGUCUCAACCACAGCCAGCCGUGAGACAGGAGAACAGACAGACAGAACUGAAGAGGUGCAAAACUUGUAAGACUGCGAAGGUUUUAUCAGGGUAUUUGGAAAUUUGAGGGGAGAGAGAGUCUGAACUGGGAUUCAGAACUGAGCAAGUGGAAACUUUAGUAAUCAGGAGAAAACAGUACCCACUGAUUCUCAGGCUCUGAUCCUGCAACCUACUCGGUGUGAGGAGACCCACGCACCCAUGCCGAGCAGCUUGCAGGAUCAAACAUCCCUUUCGAUAGAGGAGGCUGAAGGACAGCUGCAGAAGAGGAAGCCCAAAGUGCAUUAGAUGUCAGACUACACUGAAGACAAACUCUGUCAUUUGUCUGAAUGAGUUCAAACUCUCUCCUCUCAUUGCCAUGUGAGUCAGUUUCAGAAACGAAAGCAACUUUGAUUCAAAGCACCAAGACGCUCACGAGAAAAUGAAACUUUUCUCCCAACAUCCAGUCAAUUGGUGCAAUGAAAAAGCUGUAAAAUGUUAAGAGUUAAAAGUAAACAACGAGUUGUGCACUAGAGAAAGAGACAGACCGACAGAGACUGAAAUGGCUUUGUGAUUGCAUAGUACUAAAUAAAGCGAACCCAGUAAACAUUCCUCCUGAAGAAACCAGAAACAUAUCUUGUUAUAGCUCAUUUCUCUCCCUGUAUUUCUUGGCUGCAAAAUAAGGGUUUGAUCCAAGAAUUACCAGUGACUUCAUUAGGAGAAGGAUCAGGUCCCAGAUGUUGUCCAUACUCUUGUAGCAGAGGGAAAAACCAAACAAAACAAAGGUCCUGAAAUUCUAUAUCUGAAACAAGCCACAUACUUAGUUAUAAAAUCAUAGUCAUUCAAUCACAGAAUUUUCCUUUUUGGUUUUGUUUUCUAAGCCAUAUUUAAAUGAGUGCCACAUUGCUAUCCCUGCAGACUGAAGAUCUCUCUGUAUUCAUGAACCCAUUAAGCAACAGCAGCAGACCAAGCCUAGAGAUGUGAAGGCAGCUCAUCUUCCAGGCCUGUCUGCUGAGAUUGCCACAAAAAGAUCAGUUUCAGUGUGGCCAACCCCAGACAUUUGCAGGUCAUCAAUCAACGCCCCCAAUAUCAGGAUAUGGCUUGGAAACUGAUAAAUUUCAAUAAUAAAAUAAAAUAAAUAAUAAUAAUAAAUGGGUUCUUUUUAUUUGCCUUAUGGUUUUUCAACUGCAGGGUUCAUGUUUUCAAGCUUUUCCCCAUAAAUGAUGCUCACAAAGCAAAACAGGAAAGAAAAAGAGGAGGAGCAGCUUAUGCUCACAUGUCUGAUUGCAUUGCAAGAACGAUGCUGCUGUCAUGUUGCCAUUUAGGUCCAAACUGCUCCCACUGCAUAGCAGAAUGUUCCAUUUGCAAUGGAAUAUGUAAGGGGUACUGCAGCCUUUGUGCACCUACAGGCAUGAUAUGCACUGAUUCCACAACUGCUGGUCAAGAUCUCAUGGUUGCACCAAUUGUUCCCACUGAGCAAAUGGUGUACACACACACACACACACACACACACACACACACACACACACACACACACACACACACACACACACACACACACACACACACACACACACACACACACACACACACACACACACACACACACACACACACACACACAGAAUGUGGAAUGGGAGAAAGUAUUUCUUAUCAGACCCCAGCAACCAUUUUUCAUGAUGUAUGAAUUAUUCAGGUUAGACAAUACUUUGAGCCCUAUCAUGCUGCCAUUUACUUCAGUGUGAAAACAGAAUUAGCCCUUUCAAUUUGUUGGACCUGAUUUUCAUUUAUACUAAGGCCCCUGCUCUAGUCAUGUGAAGAGAUCUUAAAAUAAAUAUAAAUAUAUAUAUAUAUAUAUAAAUAUAAAUAUAAUUUUUUCCCACUUUACAGCAUUCUGAAAAUGUAAAGAGGACUUAAAGUCACCUACUUAAUUGAGAAUCAGGCCCACGGAGUUUCUGGAGGGGAUUAUAUCCUAGACCACAUUUUCUAAGUGGCCUCAGCGUGCUUGUGCCUGAGUUUUGAGCAUGCAGUUUUGUGCACCUAAGCACUGUGUAAGCAGUCCUGGGUCCUUAGAAGCUCAGUAAUUGCUAGGGUAUGUCUACACUAGGAGCACUUUACCUGUGUGGGAAUACUGGUAUACUAGACCAGCAAAGCACUCCCCGUGAGGAUGCAGCUAUAUCAGCAAAAAUUCACUUUGUACCAGCGUAGUGAAACCAACUCCCACGAGCAAAACAAGCUACACUGACACAAGCACAGUUUGCCAGUGUAUCUACCCCAGGAGCAUCUGCUGGCAUGGCUAUAUUGGGCAGUGAUCCACCCAUCUUCACAAUGCAGACUGACACAGCUAUGCCAGCAGAAAUCCAUACUGUAGCAUCUCCACAUUGUAGCAUUAAAUAUGCUGGUUCACUGAUACUUAUAGAUGGUCUCAGGUGGCAUGUGGGGAAUAGAGGUUUCAGAGCCAGUGUGUCUCUAAUCUAAAUUAACAUCUAUUUAUAUAUAUAUUUACAUAAGCAAAACACACCUUGUACAGUUAGCUUAAAUUGAAAAGAGCCUUCUCCUUUAAAUGGCCACCGUUUAACUCCCUGUAUUAUUAUUAUUGCUGCUGCGAUAGGGCACAAGAAGUGUUUUUUCAUUCUCUCACAAAAUGCUCAGAAGAAACUCCAUCUUGGAGUUGCAUGUUAAUGAAAUGUAAAUGCACUCUCUUAUAAAAGGAGAAAAUACUCUAAGCCAUCAGGAGGAUCACACAGCUAAAU